rnacentral:lncRNA from 1 species
AGUACGAUCAAAAUAAAAUUUUCCACNUGACUCUUGAACCCUUAAAGAAUUGAAAAAUCAUGGGUCAAUUUCUGCACCUUCAAAACCAUACAAUAACGCACCAACGUUAAAUUAAAUUCAAUAGCAUAGAUAAAAAGUCAAAUAUGUAUGAAGUAUUAACAUAUUUUUUGAACGAAAGAAAAAAAUAGAAGAGAAAAUAGAAUUUAAUUCUUUUAGAUACUUUAUUUAAAAAACUCUACCCAUCUAUUUUAUAGAUGGGGUAUAUCUCGCUAAGAUAGAUAAAAGUAUGUAUUAUGAUCUAGAUUAGAAAUGAAUAUGUAUCUCGAUUCAUAUCAAUUAAUUUCUAAUUGAGAGACUCAUACAAAUGAAUCAUGUGCCAGAAACCAGAUUUGAACUGGUGACACGAGGAUUUUUAGUCCUUUGCUCUACCAGCUGAGCUAUUCCGACCAUUCCCAAAGUAACAUCUCAUCCUCAUUUUAUUAGAUGACUGGGGUCUGUGUCAAUUAAAAGGACAAGGGGGGAUUACAAAGUUUUCUCCAAGUCCUAGAAUUUUUUGGAUCUUCAAAAAGAUGACUUUGUAAAUUUUAGUAUGAGUAAUGAUAUCAACUGUGAAUAAUUCAAAUGGGGAUUCCUUUUUUAAUUUGGAUUUGUAUUAUAUAUCACACGUGAGAAGAGAAAAUCAUUUAUGCUCAAAUACAUUUAUAGAGUGAAUGAAAAAGAUAAGGAAUUUGGAACCGCUAAUGAAAAUGGGAUAGGAUAAAUAUUUAGGGAGUCAAAUAGGCUUUUUGGGGAUAGAGGGACUUGAACCCUCACGAUUUUUAAAGUCGAUGGAUUUUCCUUUUAUUAUAAAUUUUAUUGUUGCCGGAAUUGACAUGUAGAAUGAGACUCUAUCUUUAUUCUCGUCCAAUUAAUCAGUUCUUUAAAAGAUCUGUCAGAGUAUGGAGUGAUUUGAUCAAUGAAUAUUCGAUUCUUUCUUCAAUGUGGAAUCAAAUCUUCCAUUUUCCAUAUAAAAAAAAUAUAAAUAGAGAUUCGAGUCGUCAUUAAUCAUUUGAUAUAGCAUUCAAUAUAUACGUUUAUCCUUCAUCCUUUCUGAAGUUUCAAUAGAAAGAUUCCUCUACCAACGCAGUCCACUCUAUUUGUUAGAACAACUUCCAUUGAGUCUCUAUACCUAUCCUUUUUUCUUUCCUGUCCUUUUUUUUGGGAAAAUAGGAUUUGGCUCAGGAUUUCCAAUUUUUAUUAAUUUUGGGGUUUCUCUAAAUUUGAAAGUUACCACUUAGUAGGUUUCCAUACCAAGGCUCAAUCCGGACUGGAAGAUCUCAUGAAAAUUGAACAUUUGCACCUAGAAGAUAUAAAACAGAUAUUGGUCAUUCUAGAAAAACAUUUCGCAAUUGAUUUACCAAAAAAGAAGUUUUAAAUCUAUUGGAUUUUUUUUCGUCUUUUUUUUUCAUUAAGAUGAAAAUAGGUUUUGAAUCUUUUGCACAAUUCAUAUAUUCAAAAGAAAUUCAGAAUUGAAUAGAUGUAUCUGGGGAGAAUUCGCUUUCAAGCGACUAUUCCCUAGAUACACACAUCAUUUUAUUUCACAAUUAAAUCAAAUUAAAAAAGAGCUAAAGUUAGGGAUUUAUCAAUAGGUAAUGUUGCGCCAAUACCCUGCCAAAGAGCGACUGCAGUACCAAUCAAAAAGAUGGUUGUCACUACUGGACGACGAAAUGGAUUUUGAAAUUUAUUAACAUUCUCUAAAAAGGGUACUGUUAAUAAUCCUGUAGGUACUGAAACCAUUAAAAGAACACCCAAUAAUUUACUGGGCACUGCUAGUUUUUUUUUUUUUUUAAUUACAUGGUGCAUAUGAUUGAGAAAAAGCCAUAGAUAGAAGUACAAAUAUUUUACCUUCAAAGUUUGGUCAUCUUUAAAUAUUAAACAUUUGGCUCCUUUAACCAAAGAAGUGUAUACCAAAUGAAUAAAUUUUCUCAACAGAAC